rnacentral:pre_miRNA from 1 species
CGUGGGGAAGAUGCCGUGGGGGUUUCCCUGCCUGGGACCCGAGGUGUGAAGGGCCCGUCGGGGCUGACCCCCAUGGCAGCUGGCUCCUUC